GCCUUCGUGUUAUAGUGGUUAGCACGCUCGAUGCCUAACCGAGAGGUCCGUGGUUCGAUUCCAGGCGAAGGCG
rfam:Stegodyphus mimosarum contig44144, whole genome shotgun sequence.